GUCCUCCCAAUUCUUAUCACAGGCUGUGUUCUUUACACUGACUGUAUAAAAGUGGAGGUACAGUAAAGGCACCCCAUAUCUACCUCAACCCAUGCCCUUUGUCUGGUCUUUAUUGUGAAUUGGGGGACAAAA